CCAGCCUACUAUAUCUUGCUUCUCCAAAUUCCUUCUUAGGCAGUCAAGAUCCCCGGAGACAGAAGACUAUAGAGGAGGGAAGGAACGUAGUGCAGAGUGAGCCUACAGGGAUUCGAGCGCAGCCCCACCCUGCUGGUCCCUGUGACCUCAGGCCAGUCCCGCUCCUCCUGAUCUCAUCGGCAAAUGGCGGCGGGAAACCAGAUAACCCUGAAGUGGCUUCAGAGUCUAAUCCUCUGUACUUCUGACGGCCAGUUAUGAAAAAAGGUUUGCUAAAGCCUGGCGAUCCUUCCCAGCAGCCAGCGAGGACUCAUUACCAGAAGCACCACAGCUAAACAGAGGGAAAUGUUUAGGUGGCAGUUGGCAGUCAGAAGGAUCCUAAACGACUCUGGAGCCGAGCCGCUGGAGUGGAAGGAACGUGGGUGUCAGCUUACCUCGUACAGGCCAGCUGCCCACCCCGCAGGCAGCAGGCUCCUGGCCCUGUGCUCUGGUCCCUGCCAUGAGCAAUCGGCUCAGUCCCAGAAACAGGGUACACCAGGGGACUUGACCUAGAGGACCGCAGCCUUCCAUCCCUCUCUAGCCAGCAGGCAGAUAAGGAAACUGUCCCAGCACAGCUGAUUCUCGUAGAUCUCAUUCAUUUCAGAAUUCCAGAGAGAAAGGUUCCCUAAUUCUCUCUGGUCGUUCAUUCCAGUCUCGCAACCCUAUCAACCAAGACCUGCUUCAUCUCCCACCCUAAUCUCCCCUGAUGCAAUUCUAGCCUCUUGGUGUUUUUUUUUUUUCUCUCUCUCUCUUCACUAGAAAUGAAAAACAGCUGGACCCCAUCUUCUGCAUAAUAACCGUCCAUAAACUGGGAGGCCAUUAUUAAAUCAGCCGGGUCCUUGUCUUCCCUAGGUUAAACGACGCCAAAGCCUUAAGCUUCCCCUCAUGGUUGCUGGCUUCUAACUCAUUAUUUUCAUGACUUUCUGUGUCACUCAAAUUGUCAAAGCCCUGACUAGAAAUUUUAUGAGGAUUUGAGAGAGAGAGAGAGAGACAGAGAAAGAGAGAGAGAGAAUGUGUGUGUAGGAGGGAAGUUUAGCUCACAGUUUAAACGGUUAAUUUUUAAAACUUUUUUAUUGUGAAAGAUAUCAGAAAGCAUUUACGUAACACACAUGCACAGUUUAAAACAAAAUCAGAUGAGAACUCGUGCACCCACCACGAGUUAUUUUUUUCCCUCUAAACAUUGACUUUGGGUUUGAUUUUGCUUUCUUUGAGAGGAGAAACAGUGAUUAUGUUUUAAAUCACAUUUACAUUUAAUUUACAUCAUUACAAUUUAAACCAAUGAUACUUGUUUUUAAACUCUGACAUCCAUGUUUAUCAGAGUGUCUUUAAAGCCUGACAAUAUUUAGCUGAGACAUCAGAGGUUUUAUACAAUGGCCUGUUCUAGAAAA